UAAUAAGUGUUUUAUGGCACUUUUUAAAUCCAUAUCCACCUUGUGUGCAAUGUCAGUCGAUCUUCUUCUAUGAGGAUCGACCAAACAUCAACCUUUAUCUUUUAACUCUUUGUCUGAAAAAUAUUAUGAAUAAACAAUUCAAAAUA
rnacentral:misc_RNA from 1 species